rnacentral:rRNA from 1 species
GCGUAAAGCGCACGCAGGCGGUCUGUCAAGUCGGAUGUGAAAUCCCCGGGCUCAACCUGGGAACUGCAUUCGAAACUGGCAGGCUAGAGUCUUGUAGAGGGGGGUAGAAUUCCAGGUGUAGCGGUGAAAUGCGUAGAGAUCUGGAGGAAUACCGGUGGCGAAGGCGGCCCCCUGGACAAAGACUGACGCUCAGGUGCGAAAGCGUGGGGAGCAAACAGGAUUAGAUACCCUGGUAGUCCACGCCGUAAACGAUGUCGAUUUGGAGGUUGUGCCCUUGAGGCGUGGCUUCCGGAGCUAACGCGUUAAAUCGACCGCCUGGGGAGUACGGCCGCAAGGUUAAAACUCAAAUGAAUUGACGGGGGCCCGCACAAGCGGUGGAGCAUGUGGUUUAAUUCGAUGCAACGCGAAGAACCUUACCUGGUCUUGACAUCCACAGAACUUUCCAGAGAUGGAUUGGUGCCUUCGGGAACUGUGAGACAGGUGCUGCAUGGCUGUCGUCAGCUCGUGUUGUGAAAUGUUGGGUUAA